AAAGCGAUGUGGUUUUGUUGCAACACUUCGCGCGGUUGCUGUGUAGAAGCGGACAGUGCGACGUAUGAGGUAGAAGGAAUACACCCGCUGUGAGUUUAAGGGGAAACAAAAGGAGGUUUCAUGUCAGAUCAGGGUUGCUGUGCUGUUUCCAAAACCUGGAUGUAAAUGAGAAGACAAGGGAGUACCUUACAACUAAAUGACUGAUAAAGGAACCAUUAAUAUGCAUUUUCACAGACUUUUUUUCCUGGAUACAAAGUUAUGUUCAUCAGCAUGGAGAAGUCUUAAUAGCAGGCAGCAGCCCCACGCUGGACUGGGCCAGGGUAGUAAUGGGAAUCAUUGGGAAUAGGUCCAUGGCAGGAGAACGGAGGCUUAUCAUUGAUCCACCAUCUCCCCUCCCGCGCCAGUCCCACUUCAAAGCCACAUAAUGAGAAUCACCUGUGCCAGCUAGCCAGGGAAAUCUUUAGUAAGGAGUGCAGAUUGAGAUAAAGGAGAGGAAAUGCAGAGAAGCAGGAGCUUUAAAAGAGCUCAGCGGUGAUCAAGAAGCUCGGGAGAUGCACUGUGAAAGCUGGAAGUCCAGGAAGACAUGUUGGCUCGGCAGUGACUCAGUGGAGGUCUGGCAGAGACCUUGCACAAAGACCUUCGCUUACAUUAUAUUAGCCUGGUUCAGACACCCAUUGGGCCCCUCUCGUAGACCCCCUGCUCAGCCCCCAGUGAGGGGUGUUUGCUAUUAGCCACUGACCUCCAUCCAUUCAGUCUUCAUGAGUCUCUGCUCCUGCCUUUAGAACUGCCACACUAAUCAAAAGCAACUCAGCCUCUCAAUCCUGACGUUUUCUUUGCUUCAGACGGGUAUUAUGAAGUAGACCCCAAAAUAAUGGUGGGGUUUUUUAGAAGGAUAUUGAUAAUUAUUUCAGAAUAGCACAAGCAUUAAAUAGGAUAAACCUCAUUACUGACCUCAAUUCAAAAUGUCAAUGCACAACUAAAAUAUGGGAUUGAGGAUUUACAUAUGAAGAUUAAAUGGACUUUUAUUUGUUAUUUGCCAUUCUAGAGGAAAAUAAUGAGUACAUGUGAAAAAGAAAGUGAUUAAGUGAUUUUUUUUUUUCCAAUUUUUUUGUUUUGUUUUAAUUUUCAUAAUUAUUAUAUUCAUAGAUGUGUUUUGAAUCAAUCUCAUAUUACUAAUAAUAGUACUUACAAUCAUUAAAAAUUACUACUCAAAGCGUUUUUUGGGAGUAGGGUAAAUAGCCAUUCAGAUUUUGUGGAUUCACUGCGGUGUUAAUCACAGCGCCAAAUACUUAAAUAUUUAUAUUAAAUAGGCUAUUUAUUUUCAAACCUAGUCCUGGAGCUUGUCAAAGUCAUAAAAAUCCAUGUGUAUCCAGUCGAUAUCUGAAAUCUUGCCACACAUUUUACAGCAUCUCACAAAACUAUAUCUACCAAAGUUUCACACAAAUGGAGGACUUUAUAACAAAUAUUUAGUUUUUCAACUGUUUUAAGUAUUGCAUAGUUGAGAAACUAAAUAAGUUGUUCACAAUUAACCUCACUCAUUAUAUCAUUAAUCAUUGAGCCAUUCUGCAGCAAGACUUUU